UGUCAACCAUGUGAUGAUCUUAAGGACAUAGUUAACAUGGCAAUGAGAAUCAACCCACCGGAAAAACAGAAAACAUCAAAGAGGGAGCCAACUUGGGUGAAAGUGGUUUGCCCAAGACAACCAGGUAGUGUGGAAUGUGGGUAUUACGUGAUGAGAUAUAUGAAGGAAAUCAUUGCUAAUCCAAACCAACUAACAUCAAAGUUUUGCGGGAAGAAAUCAUAUAGUGAAAUGGAAAUUAAUGAAGUUCGAUCAGAUUGGGUUAUGUUAGUGACUCAGUUAAUCAUUACUCAUGUUUGAAGUUGGCAGUGUUUUCAAUAUGGAUCAUUUUAAGGGUUGCUCUAUUAUGAUUGAUGUAUAGUUGGCAUAUUGAGAGGUGAAGCCAAGUAGACAUGGUAGGUGUAACAACUUUUGUAUAUUUCCUCUACAAAUUAUUAUCAGUUAGAUUUGGAGAAAUCCUACAAUAGCAUAGCUACAAA